GAUGAACUCUGGCGGCGUGCCUAAUACAUGCAAGUCGAGCGGACAGACGAGGAGCUUGCUCCUCUGACGUUAGCGGCGGACGGGUGAGUAACACGUGGAUAACCUACCUAUAAGACUGGGAUAACUUCGGGAAACCGGAGCUAAUACCGGAUAAUAUAUUGAACCGCAUGGUUCAAUAGUGAAAGACGGUUUUGCUGUCACUUAUAGAUGGAUCCGCGCCGCAUUAGCUAGUUGGUAAGGUAACGGCUUACCAAGGCAACGAUGCGUAGCCGACCUGAGAGGGUGGACGGCCACAUUGGGACUGAGAUACGGCCCAGACUCCUACGGGAGGCAGCAGUGGGGAAUAUUGCACAAUGGGCGCAAGCCUGAUGCAGCGACGCCGCGUGGGGGAUGACGGCCUUCGGGUUGUAAACUCCUUUCGCUAGGGACGAAGCUUUUUGUGACGGUACCUAGAUAAGAAGCACCGGCUAACUACGUGCCAGCAGCCGCGGUAAUACGUAGGGUGCGAGCGUUGUCCGGAAUUACUGGGCGUAAAGGGCUCGUAGGUGGUUUGUCGCGUCGUCUGUGAAAUUCCGGGGCUUAACUCCGGGCGUGCAGGCGAUACGGGCAUAACUUGAGUACUGUAGGGGUAACUGGAAUUCCUGGUGUAGCGGUGAAAUGCGCAGAUAUCAGGAGGAACACCGAUGGCGAAGGCAGGUUACUGGGCAGUUACUGACGCUGAGGAGCGAAAGCAUGGGUAGCGAACAGGAUUAGAUACCCUGGUAGUCCAUGCCGUAAACGGUGGGCGCUAGGUGUGAGGGUCUUUUCACGACUUUCGUGCCGUAGCUAACGCAUUAAGCGCCCCGCCUGGGGAGUACGGCCGCAAGGCUAAAACUCAAAGGAAUUGACGGGGGCCCGCACAAGCGGCGGAGCAUGUGGAUUAAUUCGAUGCAACGCGAAGAACCUUACCUGGGCUUGACAUACACCGGAUUGGGCUAGAGAUAGUCUUUCCUUUUGUGGCUGGUGUACAGGUGGUGCAUGGUUGUCGUCAGCUCGUGUCGUGAGAUGUUGGGUUAAGUCCCGCAACGAGCGCAACCCUUGUCUUAUGUUGCCAGCAUUUGGUUGGGGACUCAUGAGAGACUGCCGGGGUCAACUCGGAGGAAGGUGGGGAUGACGUCAAAUCAUCAUGCCCCUUAUGUCCAGGGCUUCACACAUGCUACAAUGGUCGGUACAACGCGCAGCGACACUGUGAGGUGGAGCGAAUCGCUGAAAGCCGGCCUUAGUUCGGAUUGGGGUCUGCAACUCGACCCCAUGAAGUCGGAGUCGCUAGUAAUCGCAGAUCAGCAAUGCUGCGGUGAAUACGUUCCCGGGCCU
rnacentral:rRNA from 1 species